rnacentral:rRNA from 1 species
GACGUAGGGCGCGAGCGUUGUCCGGAUUUAUUGGGCGUAAAGAGCUCGUAGGCGGCUUGUCGCGUCGUCCGUGAAAACCUGCAGCUCAACUGCAGGCUUGCGGUCGAUACGGGCAGGCUAGAGUUCGGUAGGGGAGACUGGAAUUCCUGGUGUAGCGGUGAAAGUGCGCAGAUAUCGGGGAAGAACACCCCGUGGCGAAGGCGGUUCUCUGGGACGGGUACUGACGCUGAGACGCGAAAGCGUGGGGAGCGAACAGG